GAAAAUAUAGCCUUGCAAAGUUUGCAAAUUUUGUACACUUUUGUAUUGCAUGCGAAAAUUGCAAUUAUACAAAAGAAUACAAAAUUUGCAAACUUUGCAAGGCUAUAUUUUCUACAUAUU